AGAGCUUUUAAAGAUGAAUACUUAAACAAAAGGAAAAGGGCAUUCCAAGCAGAAAGAGCAAGAAAAAAGGAAAAUUAGAUGAGUCUAUUGUAAUUAUAAUUCUACAACUCAUUACCAACGUUUGAAGAGGUCUCUCACACUCUGGGACUACUAUGCACCCAUGCUAAUCAUCUUGGGGCUGGAUACCAGACAACUGGAGACAGCCCCUAUGUCCUGGUGCUUGAGAAAUUAUUCAAAUUAUCCAACCUGCAGCAAGAUACCAUAUUUCAUUUAGUUGUCAUUUCUCCUUAAACUUCUCUUGGUUGUGAUAGUUUCUUAGAUUGUCUUUGUUUUUGAUGACCUGGACCAUUUUGAAGGCUACUAGACAGAAAGGGUCACUACAGAUUUUCUUUAAGCGGCACACACACCUCAUGCCAGAAUGCUGAAAUACGGAUUAUCUGGGCAUGUUUUCACUGAGAAAGGCAGAGCAAAUGAUGGAGGAGAGAGAGUAAAACAUAAAGGAGACAUAGUAAGAAGAUGUACAUCUGCAAACCAGGAAGGGAGCCCUCGCCUGACAACUAGAUCUGCCAGCACCUUGAUCUUGGAUUUUCUAGCCUUUAGAACUGCAAAAAAUAAAUGUUU
rnacentral:lncRNA from 10 species